AAUAAUAUCACCAUUGUAGCAUGCAAGGACUCGCAAUAAUAAGAGAACCCAGCCACUGAAUUGAAGUAAUUUAUUCAAUUGGACCAAGAAAAGGGAAAAAAAUAAAAAUAAAUCCUUGCCGCAUAUAGUGUCAUUUUGAAAGCUCGUGUUUUUGGCAUGGAUCUAAAUUACAAUAUCUAUCUAAUAAAAUACAAAUAAUUUUGAAUUUUCCGCUCACUCAAU
rnacentral:lncRNA from 1 species